rnacentral:rRNA from 1 species
GACGAACGCUGGCGGCGUGCUUAACACAUGCAAGUCGAACGGAAAGGCCCUGCUUUUGUGGGGUGCUCGAGUGGCGAACGGGUGAGUAACACGUGAGUAACCUGCCCUUGACUUUGGGAUAACUUCAGGAAACUGGGGCUAAUACCGGAUAGGAGCUCCUGCUGCAUGGUGGGGGUUGGAAAGUUUCGGCGGUUGGGGAUGGACUCGCGGCUUAUCAGCUUGUUGGUGGGGUAGUGGCUUACCAAGGCUUUGACGGGUAGCCGGCCUGAGAGGGUGACCGGCCAAAUGGGGACUGGGAUACGCCCCAAACUCCUACGGGGGGAAGCGGGGGGGAAUUUUGCACAAGGGGCGGAGGCCUGGUGCAGCAACGCCGGGGGGGGGAGGAGGGCCUUGGGGUUGAAAACCGCUUUCCCCGGGGAGGAAGCGGGGGUGACGGUAAUGGGUAAAGAAGCACCGGCUAACUACGG